rnacentral:pre_miRNA from 1 species
AAUAAACCAAUUUUUCACUUUUUACAUACAAUUUUUGACUAAACGUCUUAUUCAAUUUUUUUUGUGAUUGAUAUUUUUGUUUUUAUUAGAUGAUAAAUCAUGAAUAAUACUUUACGUGACUAAUUUUUUUCUAAUUUCUUGAAAACUUUUUAAAUAAGACGGAUGGUCAAACGUUAGACACGAGAAUUGGCU